AGAGUUUGAUCAUGGCUCAGGAUGAACGCUAGCGGCAGGCCUAAUACAUGCAAGUCGAACGGUAAGUUGAAUAGCAAUAUUUGACCUAGAGUGACGUACGGGUGCGUAACACGUAUGCAACCUACCCUUUACAGGAGGAUGGCUCGGGGAAACUCGAAUUAACCCUCCAUAACAUAGUGCUGUGGCAUCACAGUAUUAUUAAAACUCAGGUGGUAAAGGAUGGGCAUGCGUCUGAUUAGUUAGUUGGCGGGGUAACGGCCCACCAAGACGAUGAUCAGUAGGGGAACUGAGAGGUUGAUCCCCCACACUGGCACUGAGAUACGGGCCAGACUCCUACGGGAGGCAGCAGUAGGGAAUAUUGGUCAAUGGAUGCAAGUCUGAACCAGCCAUGCCGCGUGCAGGAAGAAGGCCUUCUGGGUUGUAAACUGCUUUUGCCAGGGGAUAAAAUUUCCUUGCGAGGAAAAUUGAAGGUACCUGGGAAUA
rnacentral:rRNA from 1 species